rnacentral:rRNA from 1 species
UACGUAGGGUGCGAGCGUUGUCCGGAAUUACUGGGCGUAAAGAGCUCGUAGGUGGUUUGUCGCGUUGUUCGUGAAAACUCACAGCUCAACUGUGGGCGUGCGGGCGAUACGGGCAGACUAGAGUACUGCAGGGGGAGACUGGAAUUCCUGGUGUAGCGGUGGAAUGCGCAGAUAUCAGGAGGAACACCGGUGGCGAAGGCGGGUCUCUGGGCAGUAACUGACGCUGAGGAGCGAAAAGCGUGGGGAGCGAACAGG